GGGCCGGUGGUCUAGCGGCUAUGACGCUGCCCUUACAAGGCAGAGGUCGGGAGUUCGAAAGAUCACGUGCGAGAAGCACGUCCCGCGGUUCUCCCCUGGCCCACCA
rnacentral:tRNA from 1 species